rnacentral:tRNA from 1 species
UUUUCUCUAUUAUAUUUUUAUUAUAUUUAUUUUCCAAAUAAAAGAUCUAUUAUUUUUUUAGGUGAAAAA